CCCCUUUCUCGGUCAGCAGGGGUUGACGUUCCACAGCAGCUGGCUUUGGCUUUGUGUGUCAAGUGGCGCUGCACAAACAACCGACUGGGGCACUGGAGGGCUAAGGACUGGCAGUAAGUUCCGGGAUAAUGUGCUAACCUCCGGGUGGAUGGACAAAUAUAAAAGUAGCUGGUUAACAGUGAUCCACAGAUCCACCCAGCAGUUCUGGCUUACUUCUAUUUCCUUUUUGGGAAUAAUUAUGCACAAAUAGAUGGGUCUAUUAUAAGUAUUUCAAUGUGUUUAAAUAAAGUUUGUCUAUAAAAAAUCGCA